GAAGAUAUUAGAGACUUCCCAAUACAGACUCAUAUAUCUAAAAACAUCCAUAUUUCUUUCACUAGUUUUUAGCUUUCAAGAAUUGUCUUUUAAUCUUCAUCGAAAAUUUCUAUUAUAUAGAAGAAUCAUGAAUUAGGACGAUCAAGGCUAUUUUUGUAAUUGCACAAAAUUCAAUUUCUAAAAUCAUCUGUGGUCGCUUGACUAAGAAGAUAUUAGAGACUUUUCAACACAGACACAUAUGUCUAGAAACGUCCAUGUCUUUCACAAUUUUUUAGCUUUUAAGAAUGAUCUCUUAAUCUUCAUCAAGAACUUUUGAUUCUUUUCAUCCUCACAGUGAAUUACAUUUUAAUCUUCGACUCAUUUAAUUUUAUUAAAAUCUUUAUUCAUUUUUUCUUCGUAUACUUUACAAGGUUUCUUUAAGAAGAGUAUAGAUGAAAGUUUUAGUGAGCUGCAUGUCAAAUUGCUUCUUCAUCUAUAUUCUUCUAGAGUUUCAAUUACAGAUAAGUUCUUCAUCAUUUUUUAAAUUCUUUUGUCACUCAUUUUUUAAAUUCUUUUGUCAAUUUUUGUUUGAUUUUUAUCAAAAUUUUUAAAAUUUUUGCUCAUCUUCUCAAAAAAGUUGUGUUUUUCACUUUGAAGAAUAAAUAAAUCCUUGGUUACAUCUUCUGAUUGACUAUUCUACCCUACCCUGCAGAUCAAUUCUCUACUUUAAUAUUCAUCUACGCUUAUGGAUUUUGCAAUGCCGGAAUGAUGCAAAGAUUAUAAUGUCAAAAAUAAUGACACAGUCAGACUCAAGUGCACAAAUAACACAACAAAUUGAUUGAAAAAGGAGAAAUUAAGAAGAUUUUUCAGGCUUAACUCGCAACGACAAACAGAUCCAACACUAAAUGUCGAUGCAGCAGCAAAAUUGAAACACACAGAAGAAAUCUAAAUCAAACCAGCGGAAGGACUUAGAGGAAACAAAUUUAACAAUGGAAGAAGAUACAUAGAGGAGCAAGAGAAAGCACUGCCAAAUAAAUUUGAUUAAACCUAGGUAGAAUGUUGUUUUGUUUGUAGAAGUGUAUUCAGUAAUUAGGACAUAUUUGUACAUGUGAAAAAGUUACAAAGCACCGCCUAUGAGCUAAACAACAAUCGAAGGCAUGAAAAGAUGGAUAUAACCUUCUAUAUGUGCUUCUUCAUAGGGGUAUAUUCGUCUUUUUGUAAUUCCUUGUUGUUUAUACAUGCAUUCUUUAAGGGUGGUUCUUCGUGGCUUUUUUAGAUGUAAAUAGAUGUCCUCAUUAAGCUGUAAAUGCAUGUCUUUGGAGAAGCAUACAUGACGACCAAGAGUAGCUAUUGUUGGUUGUCUUGUGUACAUCUUCACAUGGUAUACUCAGUUUUGCUACCUCCUUGUUGUUCAUACAAGUAUUCCCUCAUACGCGAUUA